UACGGAGGAUGCAAGCGUUGUCCGGAUUCAUUGGGUUCAAAGGGUGCGUAGGCGGAGAAUUAAGUCAGUGGUGAAAGCUUGCAGCUUAACUGUAAAAAUGCCAUUGAAACUGAUUUUCUUGAGUUCGAUUGAGGUAGAUGGAAUGUAUCAUGUUGCGGUGAAAUGCUUAGAUAUGAUACAGAACACCAAUUGCGAAGGCAGUCUACUAAGUCGAUACUGAGGCUUAGGCACGAAAGCAUGGGGAGCAAACAGGAUUAGAAACCCUAGUAGUCC
rnacentral:rRNA from 1 species